rnacentral:rRNA from 1 species
GACGAACGCUGGCGGCGUGCUUAACACAUGCAAGUCGAACGGAAAGGCCCUGCUUUUGUGGGGUGCUCGAGUGGCGAACGGGUGAGUAACACGUGAGUAACCUGCCCUUGACUUUGGGAUAACUUCAGGAAACUGGGGCUAAUACCGGAUAGGAGCUCCUGCUGCAUGGUGGGGGUGGAAAGUUUUCGGCGUUUGGGAAUGGACUGGUGCCUUACCAGUUUGUUGGUGGGGUAUUGGCUUACCAAGGCUUUGACGGGUAGCCGGCCUGAGAGGGUGACCGGCCACAUUGGGACUGAGAUACGGCCCAGACUCCUACGGGAGGCAGCAGUGGAGAAUAUUGCACAAUGGGCGGAAGCCUGAUGCAGCAACGCCGCGUGCGGGAUGACGGCCUUCGGGUUGUAAACCGCUUUCGCCUGUGACGAAGCGUGAGUGACGGUAAUGGGUAAAGAAGCACCGGCUAACUACGUG